GUAGGUGAACCUGCGGAAGGAUCAUUAAAGAACGCCCCGUUUUUUGAAAUGGGUAAUUCCCAAACCGUGUACACAUACCUUUGUUGCUUUGGCAGGCCGCCCCUCGGGGCGUUGGCUCCGGCUGACUGCGCCUGCCAGAGGACCCAAACUCGUUUGUUUAGUGAUGUCUGAGUACUAUAUAAUAGUUAAAACUUUCAACAACGGAUCUCUUGGUUCUG
rnacentral:misc_RNA from 1 species